rnacentral:misc_RNA from 1 species
UUUCCGUAGGUGAACCUGCGGAAGGAUCAUUAAAGAGUUUGUGUAUCUUCGGGUACUUUUUCCCACCCAAUGUGAACUUUUUUCGUUGCCUCGGCAGGUCGAUGGUACCCAAUUGGUGUACCCAUCCUUCGGCUUCUGUUGGAGAGUACCUGUCGAUGGAUUUUAAAACUUGAUUUAUCUUGUCCUCUGAGUAAAAACAAAUAAAAACAAAACUUUCAACAACGGAUCUCUUGGUUCUGGCAUCGAUGAAGAACGCAGC